rnacentral:rRNA from 1 species
AACUGAAGAGUUUGAUCAUGGCUCAGAUUGAACGCUGGCGGCAGGCUUAACACAUGCAAGUCGAGCGGGGGAAGGUAGCUUGCUACUGGACCUAGCGGCGGACGGGUGAGUAAUGCUUAGGAAUCUGCCUAUUAGUGGGGGACAACAUCUCGAAAGGGAUGCUAAUACCGCAUACGUCCUACGGGAGAAAGCAGGGGAUCUUCGGACCUU